CAGGAGAGCCCGGGGUGCCUCAGCAGAGGCGCGGGGGGCGGAGACAGGGCGACGGCAGGCCCGGAAGCGGCAGGGCUGCUCCGGAGGAGGAGGAGGAGAGCGCUGGGCAUGGCGGCGCCAGCAGCGCUGCAGCGGAGCGUGGUGUCCCCCGCGGGCAGGCACACCGCCUCCCUCAUCUUCCUGCACGGCUCAGGUGAUACUGGCCAAGGAGCAAGAGCAUGGAUAAAACAAAUUUUGAAUCAAGACAUGGCAUUCCAACAUAUAAAAGUAAUUUACCCCACGGCUCCUGCCAGGCCGUAUACACCUAUGAAAGGAGCCUUUUCCAAUGUGUGGUUUGACAGGUAUAAGAUCUGUAAUGACUGUCCUGAACACAUUGAAAGCAUUGAUUCCAUGUGCCGGGGCCUUACAGAUCUGAUCAAUGAUGAGGUUAAGAAUGGCAUUGCCAAGAGCAGGAUACUCAUAGGAGGCUUUUCAAUGGGAGGUGGAAUGGCAAUGCAUUUGGCCUUUAGGUUUCAUCAGGAUCUGGCAGGAGUCUUUGCCUUGUCCAGUUUUCUGAAUAAAGACUCUGCUGUUUACCAGGAGUGGAUCUGGGACGCUCUGUCACAGCAGAUUGCUGCCAGUACUGACUAUGCCUCCAGAAAUAUCAGCCAGCUCCCAGGGACUAAGUUUUAUUCAAAUCCUCAUGCCCUGAGACCUCAGCCAGCUUUUACCUAUCUUGAAGAGCAAGUUGCUUACUUUGCAAGUCAGUGUCUGCUCUCUUCAGUGACUCCUUUGGCAUAAAGAGUCAUCACUUUGGAUGGAAGAUUCUGUGAAAAAAGAUACAGCAGGGUUGCAUCUGUGAGUGGAUGAAAGAAGACUGCUAGCUGGGAUUUCUUUUCUGCUCAGUUUUUGCUACCUAAUGUCAUUCACUAAACUCUUCGACUCAAGCUCCACCAGCCUCAUCUGAGAUGAAGAUUAAUACAGAUGAAGAUGAACCAAACCAAAAAAGGAUUAUUUAAACCUCUUUUUCUUAGUCACACUGCAACUGCAAGUCUUGACAAGGAGAGCUGAUGCAGAAGGGAUUUUUGAGUAUUGCUGUGCAACUACCUUCAGAUGAAUCCCUGAACUUGUUUCAAACAAUGCUGCUGUUGGAGCAUUGAGACAUCAGGAAGCAAAACUUGCCUUCCAGCUCCUGGCCCCCAGCUAAAUGACAGG